rnacentral:lncRNA from 1 species
CUUGGGGUUUGGGAGUGUUUAUUUUAUGUCAAGCAUUUGUAGAUAGAUUAGCUUAGAUCUUGGUCCUAUAUAUAUUAUUUUGUAGGGUAAUCCCAAAGAAUCUAGGGGAUAUAACUUCUACCUUGCUAAAGAAUAAAUGUUGUUUAGUAUUUCUUUCAGAAAAGGAGUACCUUGGUGAAGGUAUUGAUGCCUUUAAUGUAGAGCUUAUGAAGUUCGAUAGGUAGAAGAACCAAUACAAUUUAGUAAACCCAUAGAACUAAAUUUGAUUAGAUUAAAUUCAAAAUCCAUUGUAGAGGCACCAUUAAGG